rnacentral:rRNA from 1 species
GACGAACGCUGGCGGCGUGCUUAACACAUGCAAGUCGAACGAAGUGGCGAACGGGUGAGUAAUGCGUAAUCAACCUGCCCUUCAGAGGGGGACAACAGUUGGAAACGACUGCUAAUACCGCAUACUGAAGGAGGGGAUUGCGUCUGAUUAGCUAGUUGGAGGGGAAAAGGCCCACCAAGGCGAUGAUCAGGAGCCGGUCGGAGAGUAUGAACGGCCAACAUGGAACUGAGACACGGCCCAGACGCCGACGGGAGGCAGCAGUGGGGAAUCUUCCGAAAUGGACGAAAGUCUGACGGAGCAACGCCGCGUGGGUGAUGACGGCCUUCUGGUUGUAAAGCUCUGUUAAUCGGGACGCGGUACCGGAAUAGAAAGCCACGGCUAACUACGUGCCAGAAGCCGCGGUAAUAC